rnacentral:rRNA from 1 species
UAAAGAAUCCUCGGGUCCGGAUGGGCAUGCGUGGCAUUAGCUUGUUGGCGGGGUAACGGCCCACCAAGGCGACGAUGCCUAGGGGUUCUGAGAGGAAGGUCCCCCACACUGGUACUGAGACACGGACCAGACUCCUACGGGAGGCAGCAGUGAGGAAUAUUGGUCAAUGGGCGAGAGCCUGAACCAGCCAAGUCGCGUGAGGGACGACGGCCCUACGGGUUGUAAACCUCUUUUGCCGGGGGACAAACGGCGGCACGCGUGCCGUCCUGAGGGUACCCGGAGAAAAAGCAUCGGCUAACUCCGUGCCAGCAGCCGCGGUAAUACGGAGGAUGCGAGCGUUAUCCGGAUUUAUUGGGUUUAAAGGGUGCGUAGGCGGGAUGCCAAGUCAGCGGUCAAAUACGGGGGCUCAACCUGCGUCCGCCGUUGAAACUGGCGUUCUUGAGUGGGCGAGAAGUACGCGGAAUGCGUGGUGUAGCGGUGAAAUGCAUAGAUAUCACGCAGAACCCCGAUUGCGAAGGCAGCGUACCGGCGCCCAACUGACGCUGAAGCACGAAAGCGUGGGUAUCGAACAGGAUUAGAUACCCUGGUAGUCCACGCAGUAAACGAUGAACACUAAUUGUCCGGCGGGGUUUGCCGCUGG